CCAAAUUGUUAAAAUAGGCAUGACGUUUCCUUUGCCUUGGGCAGUUGGCCUGGGCACAUUGCAGGUGCUCCAAGGCUAAAUUUUCCCGUGGUAUCCACUUGUGUUCCAUGUACCCAGUUGUCUCUACGUCAGCUCUCGCAGUUAUUAAGAGGUAGCCCAAACACUUGCCCAUGUCCACAUGUCCAAUGUAAACUCAUGAAGAGCGACUGGAGGCUAAUAUCAUGGAUAGACUGGGACUGGAAUCACAGGUGGUCAUGCACUAACCUAAUCCAGGGAUAGCAUCUGCCUCUCUCUUGCUCUGUAGGCUGACGUCCAAAACACUGCUCAUCUUCUGCUGGCCUCCAGCACCUAUACAUGGCUUACAGCAGAGGGACUUUUAAGUCCAUAACACCAAAACUAGAACAGUUCUCAGUUGGAGGUUUCCUUACCAAAGGAGCCAUACUGCUAUAGCAGAACCUUUUAAAAGUACCAUCUGCUGGAUUCUUCUGCCAUGGACACUGAUGUCUGGGGUAAUGGAGAGACUGUCCGUCCAAAGGGUUCAAGACCUCCAAACAUCAUGAGACAGAUUGGACUCACGUCAAGUCCGUGCCAUAACUGAGCAUGCAUUUAUCUGUGUCUCAUACUCUCUUCCUUCAUCCGUCAAUUUAUUCUGGAAGUCAUGGAAGGCAGCUGGGGCCUAUCCACCCACAGUCUGGGCUCUGCUUUCUAACAAGCUCGGCAGAGCCAGUCCAUGAGGGGUCCGAUUGGAGGAUGGCUGAGCAGCCCCAGGGGGUUCACAGAGAGCACAGUUUCCCCGGGGGGACUUGUUGCCUUUGUGCUGUCCCUCAGUAGCAGCGCUGCCAGUGUCACCAGGAUCACAUCACAUGUCAGCGCGCUGAAGUUUGCAGACUGGGAGCCGCAUGGAGCCCAUCAGGUUCCUGUGAUAACCACGCAGUUGGCCCUCUACUUUGUACUGCAGCAACCAUUCAUGCCCCGAACAUUAACUGUGCUUUUGCAUGCCUGUCACACUUAAGAUUGUGCAGGCGUUCAAAGGCUUUUAAAGGGUUUUCUUUUUUCAACUUUAUUCACGCCGUCUCUCUCUCACUCAUCCAUAAAGAAAGUAAAUUGC
ensembl:lncRNA